rnacentral:tRNA from 1 species
AGCAGCAUGGCUCAGUGGAAAGAGCCCAGGCUUGGGAGUCAGAGGUUGUGGGUUCAAAUCCCAUAUCUGCCA